rnacentral:rRNA from 1 species
GACCUCAGAUAAGGCAAGACUACCCGCUGAAUUUAAGCAUAUUAAUA